rnacentral:rRNA from 1 species
AGUUUGAUCCUGGCUCAGAUUGAACGCUGGCGGAAUGCUUUACACAUGCAAGUCGAACGGCAGCACGGGGGCAACCCUGGUGGCGAGUGGCGAACGGGUGAGUAAUACAUCGGAACGUGCCCAGUCGUGGGGGAUAACGUAGCGAAAGCUACGCUAAUACCGCAUACGAUCUACGGAUGAAAGCGGGGGAUCGCAAGACCUCGCGCGAUUGGAGCGGCCGAUGGCAGAUUAGGUAGUUGGUGGGGUAAAGGCUCACCAAGCCUUCGAUCUGUAGCUGGUCUGAGAGGACGACCAGCCACACUGGGACUGAGACACGGCCCAGACUCCUACGGGAGGCAGCAGUGGGGAAUUUUGGACAAUGGGCGAAAGCCUGAUCCAGCCAUUCCGCGUGCAGGAUGAAGGCCCUCGGGUUGUAAACUGCUUUUGUACGGAACGAAACGGCCUUUUCUAAUACAGAGGGCUAAUGACGGUACCGUAAGAAUAAGCACCGGCUAACUACGUG